rnacentral:lncRNA from 1 species
GUGAUACUUUUAGGUACGUAAUUGAGGUUGUCAAUUUUCCCAAAAUCGGAUACUGAUGGUGGUGUGGGCAUGCCAUUUUAAAUGUUGAUAAUUAUUUACCUACAAACAAAACCUAACACUCCUAACCAAAAUAAUUAACCUAAAAACCAAAUCUACUUAACUUACCUACCUCAUACCUAAAUACCAACCCAAAUGAAAAAAAACCACACAAUAAACCCAAAAUAAGCCCAAUCCCCUAGCACCCAAACAAGACCAACGAAAACCCAAAGGAAAAGAAAAAAAUAAAAAGAGAAGGCAAGCAGUUGGGCCAAAUGGCUAAAUAGGCCCAAGAGGUGAAAAAAAGAAAAAAAAAGAGAAUAAAAGGAAAGAGGGUCGAACGACCAACAUUGGCCCAAAGAAAAGAAGAAAACAAAGAAAACAAGAAGAAGGGGAAAUUAAGGCCUAACAGGACAAAAAGAAAAAAGAGAGAGAAAAAAACCCAAACCCCUCUACCCUUCUUCUCCCUUUCCCUUUCUUCUUCAUCUUCUCCACAAAAAACAAAACCCUAACCCCUUUAACACCACACCACCGUCGCCAUUGUUGCACACUAUCACCAUCACCGAACACUGUGGCUACUUCGUCCAACCUUCAAACUACACCAAAGAAAGUCGAUUUACAAGUUAUCACCCAUUUCAUUCCCC